ACGAGUUCCUCACCAGAACUCACCAGACCAGAGGCAGCUCCUCAACCUUGGACUUCUCAGCCUCCAGAACUGUAAGAAAUAAUAUUUUCUUCUUUACAAAUUACCCAGUCUUAGAUAUUCUGUUACAGCAACAGAAAAUGGACUUAGACAGCAAGGAAACUGAAUAAGCAAAGUUUCUUGAGUAGAAUGAACAUGGCCACAGGGAGUCACAAGAGAUUUUUUUAAGCAGGGAGAAUGUAAUAAAGGCAGUUUUGAGUGGAUGAAUCUGGUGUUUGGUUAUCUAUGAACCUCAUUAGAAUAUUACUGGCUCUGUCCCUCUCUGUUUCAUAGAAGGAAAACCUGAAGUCUAGGGAGUUGGAUGUCUCAUGAGAAAGUCAGCUGACAAAGCCACUGGCCAGAUGGGAAACAAAGACAGUAUGGGGACAGCUCACAAAAAGUCUCCACCUUGUCAGAGUGGAGCCGUCAACUUUGGCAGACAACCUGAUGCCAUCAUGGAGGCUGAAAAUCCUCACACCUUUCAUUCUGUCUAGGGCUGACUGGAACCAGGGCUGGCUGAUCAGCUGUCAGGCUGCUCUUUAGCGAAGCUUGGAAAGUUCCAGCAAAAGCCCUGCCUUUGAACCGGAAUCACUCUGCCACCAUCUGCACAUGGAUCCUUUGUAGUGGAGACAGUGAUCUUUGUUCUGUAUAAAAACAGACUGGAACUCUUCUUGGGCCUGUCCCUCUGCUGACAAUUCCAAGUAAUGCUUUAUCAUCCCCAAGUGCAUUGCGUUGCUUUAAUAUCUGGCAGAGCGUGAAUUGUAAACACAUCAUUAGACUUAAAGGCUGCCCUGAGAUGGUGGCUGGAGGAGAACGGGGCCUGAAGAAAAGAGGAAUUUGGCUGAAAAUGAGCUGCUGAAUAAUUUAUCAUGAAUUGAAAUGUCAAUACCUUAAGUGAGGCAUGGUGAAGCUUCAGAACUCAGAGGUAAACACUGUGAGGAUGUAAUUCUGGAGAGAACAUUAUCAAAAGCAGUGGCUCUUCGGAAAGAGCAGGAGGCAGAGGGACCCUGGCUGGGUGUGGGCUGAGUCUGAUGAGGAGGUUGGGGGUGGGGAGGGGGUACAAAAGGAGAAGCAGAGCAGAGCUUGCCUUGGAGCUGCACCAUCUGAGCUGGAGGACAGGUGAAGCCAGAAAGGAACUGGGGAAAGUUAAGAACGAAGUGAGAGCUGUUAAGUAGGAGUGUCAAGAAGGCCUGACCAGUGGGCCCAGGAAAGCUUCUUGGAGAAGGGAGGACCCAGGAUUUGAUGAAGGGAGAUGAGGUGGAGAGAAUUUCAUUAGAUGUGCUAUUAAGGGGUAGCAGGAGAGAAGUUGAGAAGGCUGGUGGUGGGUGCAGGUUGAAGAACACUGUGCAGAAGAAUGGGAAUUUGUUGAAGCUGAAAUGAGAGCUCCUGCAGAUCUUUUGACAGGAAAUUGACAUUCAUUCAGCAAGUAUUCAACAUAUAAUUGAAUAGCUAUGUUCCAGAUUCUGUGCUGGCGCUGCACACAGGUCUCUGGCCUCAAAGAACUUAUAUUCUAGUGAGGGAGACAGAUAACCAAAAAAUAGCCACCACAUUUGUUUUCCUGAGUGUUUGACUUGCAUCUUAUUCUUUGCCACAAGGUUAGGAAGUAGGUGAAAUAAUUAUCUCCAUUUUACAGAUGAAGAAACUGAGGCUUAAAGAGGGUAAGUAAUUUUCCCAAGGGAAUUCAACUAGUAAAUGGUAGAGUUAGAACUCUAUCCUGCAAUUAUGCAGUUAUAAUUUGGGCUAAAUGUUUGGAUGGGAAAGUAUAUGAGGCUGUGGACCAGUGUUGGACACAUGACUGACUGUUCAGGGGGCCAGGGAAAUGUUACUGAGAAAGGAAUUAAGAUGAAACCCGAUGAGCUGGGGCGAUGUGGUGGGGUAAGAGUGGCUUGUACAAGGUCCCAGAAGUGGGAGGAAGAUGGUAGAGGCGAGAUCUGGCAGGUCUUUGGAGGUCUGUCAAGGAGGCUAGACUUCAUCCCAAUGGCAAUGAGAAGCCACUGAAGGGUUCUAAGAGGGGAAGGAUGAAGAGAGUAUGUGUGACAGAGUCGAUUUUGCAUUUUUAAAAGAUUGCUCUGGCUGCUUUGUGGAGAAUUGAUUGGUGGGGCCAGAAGUGCAAGCUGCUGGAACAGUGAGGAAGUUGAGAAGCAGGAAAUAAGUAAACCAAUAAACGCGUCAACCUCUUGAGUAUUUAUAAGAGGGUUCCUCAGCCCCUCGCUCAAAGCCUUUUUUCCCUCAUUUACAUCCAAUUCUAAUAAUUCAGGUGCUUGUUUUCCCAAUUUAUAGCAGAUUAAGAGUCACAAUUUAGAAAAGAAUUUGGGAAUGCAGUGAGUGUUGAAGGGGGAAAGACACUGGCAAUUAUGAAAAGUGACAGUUUGAUUUUAAGGAAAGACAGACAUGAAAAACAUUUAAAAUAUUAAAACAAACCAACUGCACAGCAGGGUGGGACUAUUCAGUGGAAAGGCAAAUGACCCUAUCCAAUGUCAUCCUCCCAUUUCAGGCUAAUAUUUGAUAUCUUCAGUGAUUAAUUUGAGACAACAACAAAAAAAUGAGUCAACAAUGACAAAAUGUGAUGUUCAAUAACCUCUGUUUAAAAAGACAGGAACGAAAAAGAGCGACUCCACAUUUCCAGUGGCCCUUCAGGGUGUGAGUGGGAAUGAACCCAAGAUGGCCGUGAGGCCUGGAACCGUGCGUUUCCCUUUCAGUCUCCAAGGCCAGCUGUCUCCCCCUGCAUGAGGGGUUGCUGAAGUGGGGGGAAUGGAGCUUGGUCAAAAUCUCCAGCCCCUCAUCAGUGAGCCCGGAACAUGAGCUGAGGCAAAACCACCACAGCAACCAUGGCAGCUCUGGGCCUCCUUCGGAAGCUGGGCUGGAAAAUUCUGUAGGCCACUGCAGGCUUUUAGGGAUUUAGAAAGGUCCCUGCUGCUAGAGGGCUUCCAAAGAGAAGCAGAGGGAGUAAACCAGGGUCCCCAAACCUAGUACCUUUUAGGAACCGGGCUGCAGGGCAGGAGGUGAGCUGCCAUGAGUGAGCAUGACCGCCUGAGCUCUGCCUCCUGUCAGAUCAGCUGCAGCGUUAGAUUCUCGUAGGAGUGCGAAGUCUAUUGUGAACUGCGUCUGCCAGGGAUCUAGGUUGUGCACUCCUUAUGAGAAUCUAAUGCCUGAUGAUCUGAGGUGGAACAGUUUCAUCCCCAAACCAUCUUCUCUCUAUCCCGCCCCCAAACCAGUCCCAAAAAUGUUGGGAACUGCAAGAGUAAAUCUUUCUGUGCGGGACUCUGGAUCUGACCAUCCGAGGGUUGGCGCAGUCCCCUUCCCUGGUGUCCUCCCUUGCUGUUGUUUUUUGUGUGUGUCUUUCCUUGAAAUCAAACUGUAAUUGCCAGUGUCUUUCCGCCUUGAACACUCACUGCAUUCCCAAAUUCUUUUCUAAAUUGUUAGUCUGUUAUAAAUUGGGAAAACAAGCACCUGUAUUAUUAGAAUUGGAUGUAAAUGAGGGAAAAAAAGGCUUUGGGCAAGGGGCUGAGGGACUGUCUUAUGAAUAAAGUAUUCAAGGGGUUGACACAUUUAUUGGUUCACUUAUUUCCUGUGGAGGAACCGUUGCUCUCGUGUGCAGGUAGGGGUCUAACUGUACCUACCUGCAGCCAGCCCAGGGCAGGAUUUCGGGCUGUGGGAACCACCCAACCUUGGCCUGCCACCGCAGACUUCAGCUGCCAGCUCCCCCAGCUCCUCCCUGCUAAAUGAAUAAAUAAAUGAAUGUCAAUUUCCAGUCAAAAAAUCUGCAGGGGCUCUCAUAGGCUGGAGCGUGCUGGACUCCCAGCCUGACACCCUCGGCACCCAUGCAAUCAGACAUGCAGGCACGAACCAGCCCCCCUCAGAGACAUCCUCGAUCCUUCACAGCUGGGGGCGUCGGGCCCCAGCCCCAGGCUGCAUCUGGUUUCCUCAGUUAUCUGAUUGGGAUGGUUACAAGUGUGAUCAGGAAUUGGGCCAAUGGAAGACGCCCGUGCAACUUCUUCUAUUUCAGGGGCCUUAUUUUGUUGCUUUUGUAAGUAUAGUAAACAGACUAAAAAGUAAAGUUUUUGUGUUAUUUGGUUAAGAUCUAGGAAGCUGAAGUAGGAAAACAAAAUACUGUCUGAAGAGUGGGGAGGCUUCUGGGGUGUCAAUUCUGUACAGAUUUAGAUGUAUUUAUUGCCUCCUCCAACAAUCCUGGAAUGUCAGUCUCCACUGAUUUACCCCAGACAUUAGAAUUCCACCUGGGAAGCCAAUUAAGAUGAAAAUCUUCAAUAGAAGACAACUGAGAAGGUCUGAGAGGCUUGUUACCCAGUUAUACCAUUCCAGUUGGGAACUAUGACCAUUGGAAGGAUAACUGCUGAAGCCAUGAUGUCUCUUGCACAACUUUUUCUAACUUGAGUUUUAAGUAUAUUUUUUGUUGCUGUGUAAAUAUAUUUUUUAAUUGUUUUCAAAUUGUUUGUUGGAGUGUAAAAGCAAUUGAUUUUUCAUAUAUGAUUAAUAAUAUAACCAGCAAUUUGUUAAACUAUCUUGUCAAUUAUAAUAAAUUGACACUUAUUUGGAGUUCUCUAAAUAUCAUCUAAUCAUAAUGACAGUUUGAUUUUUUUUUUUUUUUUUGAGAUGAAGUCUCGCUCUUGUCCCCCAGGCUGGAGUGCAAUGGUGCGAUCUCGGCUCACUGCAACCUUCGCCUCCUGAGUUCAAGC
rnacentral:lncRNA from 10 species